GCUUAUUGUGCUAAAUAAAGGUAAACUGACGAGUAAACUUAAGGACAUUCGGCUUCGGCAUAAAUCAGGGAAUAAUAUUAAGGAGGACUUCAUUACUAUGGAGUUUUCUGGUUGGAAAGUGCGUUCUUCUUCAAGAAGGUCAACAGAUUAUUUUGUAUAUGAUAAUGACUUUCAGUGCAACUGCAGAUUGAUGUGCAUUAAAUGCAGGGCUUGCAUUCAUAGGUAUUCUUGUACAUGUAUUGACUAUACCAUCAAAUGGAAUAUGUGCAAGCACAUACAUAGUGUUUGCCAGAUUCAGUUAAAGCAGCAACCUUCUGAACACCUAAGAAAUAGUGAAGUUACACUUACUGAGAGUGAAGAUAUUUCUGUUGUAGACGAGGAAACAGAAAUACUAGUGGAGGUAACGAAAAAAAGUGUUAAUGAUUCUGUACCUUUGUCAGUCCAAAGAAGGGAACUUAUCGCUGAGUUUUCUGGUAUUGUAUCUGAGCUGACCUCAAAUGACUUAGAAACUGCUAAAAAAAUGUUAUCGUCACUAAAGGCAACUGUAGCUGUCGGAAUGUUGCAGCAAAAACAGGCACCGCUGCAGAUAGAAAGGAAACAAUCACAAAAGAUUUUACCUCAACAUAGACUGUACUCUACAAAGAAAAACAAAAGGAGUAAUAAUGCAUCCCUGGUGCUACCAAAUUCAGAAGAAUCCAGUUUGAUGAAAUUAUCUCUACUGGCAGACAAAGAAGAUGCACUUGUGGGAAAAGGUUCAGCUGUUAAAAAGCAACCAACAAUAAAAAAUACAGAGGGUGUAGCAGGUCCAUUCCCCAUUACAGCAUGUGCCCUACAGCACAGCCCGACGAAUCGCUCAACUCCCAUGAUUCAGCCAAUAGCAAAACAGGCUGAGGUGGUAUCUAGUCAGUCUCUCGCUACAUCGUAUGUGCUGAAACACAGCCCGAGGAAUAGCUCAACUUCCACAAUUCAACCAAUACCAAAACAGGCUGUGGUGGUACCACAUCCAUCCAUCGGUACAGUGCGUGUGUUGCUACACAGCUCAACAAAUGGUGCUGUUCUCCCACAUUUAAACCAGUGACAGGGCAGGAUAAGAUGGUAUCAGUGCCUUCCCUUACUACAGCGCAUGUUCUGCAACACGGCUAUGGAAUGCAACCUGUGAUGCCAGGAAACUCACAGAUAAACUAAAUCAUGUGCCAGAUGUCGAGCACCAUUGUGUUUGGAAGUUCCAUUGUUCUGUGUGCGAACAGUUUUGGAAGUUUGGAUGAAUCAAGUUUCUGAAACUGACUGGAAAGAAACUUAAUUUUCAAAAACUAAGAUUUUAUUGCAAUUCAUGAUACUGUGAAAUAUUUUUAGAAUUGCUGUACAUUCAGCUAAAAGUUACAGUAAAAUUUUCUUGUAAGUUAUGCCUGCAGAAACUUUUGUACUGAAUUUAAUCUUUUCUUUUGGUUUAUAAUU
rnacentral:misc_RNA from 1 species